rnacentral:rRNA from 1 species
UACGGGGGGGGCAAGCGUUGUUCGGAAUUACUGGGCGUAAAGGGCUCGUAGGUGGCCAACUAAGUCAGACGUGAAAUCCCUCGGCUUAACCGGGGAACUGCGUCUGAUACUGGAUGGCUUGAGUUUGGGAGAGGGACGCGGAAUUCCAGGUGUAGCGGUGAAAUGCGUAGAUAUCUGGAGGAAUACCAGAGGCGAAGGCGGCUUGCUGGGGUGGAAUUGACGCUCAGACACGAAAGCAUGGGGAGCGAACGGG